rnacentral:rRNA from 1 species
UGGGGAAUAUUGGACAAUGGGCGAAAGCCUGAUCCAGCCAUGCCGCGUGUGUGAAGAAGGUCUUCGGAUUGUAAAGCACUUUAAGUUGGGAGGAAGGGCAGUAAGCGAAUACCUUGCUGUUUUGACGUUACCGACAGAAUAAGCACCGGCUAACUCUGUGCCAGCAGCCGCGGUAAUACAGAGGGUGCAAGCGUUAAUCGGAAUUACUGGGCGUAAAGCGCGCGUAGGUGGUUCGUUAAGUUGAAUGUGAAAGCCCCGGGCUCAACCUGGGAAAUGCAUCCAAAACUGGCGAGCUAGAGUAGGGCAGAGGGUGGUGGAAUUUCCUGUGUAGCGGUGAAAUGCGUAGAUAUAGGAAGGAACACCAGUGGCGAAGGCGACCACCUGGGCUCAUACUGACACUGGGGUGCGAAAGCGUGGGGAGCAAACAGG